GACGAACCGUGCGAACGUUGUUCGGAAUCACUGGGCUUAAAGGGCGCGUAGGCGGCUGAUCAAGUCAGGGGUGAAAUCUUUCGGCUCAACCGGAAAAGUGCCUUUGAUACUGGUCAGCUUGAGGGAGGUAGGGGCAUGUGGAACUUCCGGUGGAGCGGUGAAAUGCGUUGAUAUCGGAAGGAACGCCGGUGGCGAAAGCGACGUGCUGGCCCUCUUCUGACGCUGAGGCGCGAAAGCUAGGGGAGCGAACGGG
rnacentral:rRNA from 1 species